GGCACGGCCCCCGCCACCUCCCCGAGGCCUCGCGGCCCGCGGGCACCUGCCCUGCAGCGCCGCCGCCCCCCGCCCAGCCUCCCCGGCCCCGCCGUCUCGGCGCCUCCGUCCCGGGCCCGCCCGCAGCCCCGCGUCCCAGCCGCCAUGAUCCCUCUCGACGCCUCACUCUUUUUCUGUGGAAAAAAACCACGCGGGCAGAGGAAAACGGUGCCCCUGCCGGGUGGCGGAGGUCACCCAGCGCUCACUGCACACCAAAUCAUCAGGCCCCUGCAAAAUGUUGCUCCACACCACAUUUUCCAAUACGUUUCCCCUUUUUAAACAAGAAGGUAAUUGCAGCCGCCUUUAUUUUAAGCACUAGGUCCUUGAAGCUGUUGCUAUUGAUUUCGAUGGGAAGCACAGGGCUGUUUUAACUUAUCGGCACCUCCCUUGGUUGGGGAAUUUCUGAGAGUUUCUGAUUUGGGAAAUUUGCCCUGCAGAGCUGAUACGAACCCUACGUGACUCACACAUUAGUAACAUGUUGGUGUUUUAUUUGCUUCGGGUUUUUUUUUUUUCCUUGCUGUGUUGAUGAGACUACAAAUCCUGGCCAAGCAGCCCUGUUAAAACAAACCGGAGGAACCUCCGAGACCGAGGAUGCUUACUGAAAUACGAUAUAAAAACCCGUGCUGUUACAACGGGGAGGGCAGCCCUCGGCCUCGUCGGGGCACCAUCGGUAGCGACCUGCGCGUACACGUGCCGGUCUCGUGCGUCGCGAACGUAACGUCUUUUUUGUCUGAAACAGGGAGAAAACAAACUCCUGGCGUUUCUUCCUAUUUUUAGCACCAGCCUUCUCAAUCCGAUUUAAGCGAGGGCCCAACUGAAGCACUUACCUCGGUGUCACCAGGCGCAAUCAUUUAAAAAUCGCUCUCGCUGCGAAGCAAGAAGUACGCGCGUCCCCAUGGUGCACAGCAAUUACGCCCAGGCACUUCCAUUUCACAGCGCUGCUUUUUCUCUUUCUCAGGACUCGCCAGCUGAUGUGCGCGGCCGCAGGGGUGACUGGGUCGGCAAAGCACGCGAGUAUCCCACAUUCUGCGUCCCGCGGAGCCGGGUGCCCACGGAAAGCUUGCACAGGCCCAGCCCCACGCAACGCAGGAGAAAGCACUGCCGUGGAGAAAGGACGCGAACCCACCUCGUGCCCCACCAUGCAACGUCAUGACCUGACACAACCGUAUACGUUAAUUAACAAGAACCGGUUCCUGACAACACCCAGACGCGUUGUUCCCGGCUGUUCACUGUUGUUGUUGAUGUCGCCUUGAAUAAACUCUAAGUACCUGUACGGGG